UACGGUGGGGGCAAGCGUUGUUCGGAAUUACUGGGCGUAAAGGGCUCGUAGGUGGCCAACUAAGUCAGACGUGAAAUCCCUCGGCUUAACCGGGGAACUGCGUCUGAUACUGGAUGGCUUGAGUUUGGGAGAGGAAUGCGGAAUUCCAGGUGUAGCGGUGAAAUGCGUAGAUAUCUGGAGGAACACCGGUGGCGAAGGCGGCAUUCUGGACCAAUACCGACGCUGAGGAGCGAAAGCCAGGGGAGCAAACGGG
rnacentral:rRNA from 1 species